AGCAGCCGCGGUAAUUCCAGCUCCAAUAGCGUAUAUUAAAGUUGUUGCAGUUAAAAAGCUCGUAGUUGAAUUUCGGGGUCAGUAGGUUGGUCAUGCCACUGGUAUGUACUGGUCUCACUGAUUCCUCCUUCCUGAUGAACUGUAAUACCAUUAAUUUGGUGUUGCAGGGAAUCUGGACUGUUACUUUGAAAAAAUUAGAGUGUUUAAAGCAGGCUAACGCCUGAAUACAUUAGCAUGGAAUAAUGAAAUAGGACGUUCGACCCUAUUUUGUUGGUUUCUAGGAUUGACGUAAUGAUUAAUAGGGAUAGUUGGGGGCAUUAGUAUUCAAUUGUCAGAGGUGAAAUUCUUGGAUUUAUUGAAGACUAACUACUGCGAAAGCAUUUGCCAAGGAUGUUUUCAUUAAUCAAGAACGAAAGUUAGGGGAUCGAAGACGAUCAGAUACCGUCGUAGUCUUAACCAUAAACUAUGCCGACUAGGGAUCGGAUGAUGUUAAUUUUUAAUGACUCAUUCGGCGUCCG
rnacentral:rRNA from 1 species